rnacentral:rRNA from 1 species
AGAACGAACGCUGGCGGCAGGCCUAACACAUGCAAGUCGAACGAGAAGCCACCUUCGGGUGGUGGACAGUGGCAGACGGGUGAGUAACGCGUGGGAACGUGCCUUUCGGUUCGGGAUAACCCAGGGAAACUUGGGCUAAUACCGGAUACGCCCUUCGGGGAAAGAUUCAUUGCCGAAAGAUCGGCCCGCGUCGGAUUAGCUUGUUGGUGGGUAAUGGCCUACCAAGGCGACGAUCCGUAGCUGGUCUGAGGGGAUGACCAGCCACACUGGACUGAGACACGGCCCAGACUCCUACGGGAGCAGCAGUGGGAAUAUUGGACAAUGGGCGAAAGCCGGAUCCAGCCAUGCCGCGUGGGUGAAGAAGGCCUUAGGGUUCGACGAAACCCCGUUUUCAGGCGGGGAAGAGUAAGUGAACGGUACCCGACGAAGAACGGAACGUACCCGGACUAACC